rnacentral:rRNA from 1 species
AACGAACGUUGGCGGCAUGGAUUAGGCAUGCAAGUCGAACGAAUGCUGGGUAGCAAUAUCCAGCGGAAGUGGCGAAAGGGGCAGUAAUGUAUGGGCAACCUACCCUGGGGUUGGGCAUAGCCGUUCUAACGAGCGGGUAAUUCCCAGCGAUUUGACGGAGGGGCAUCUCUCUGUCAAGAAAGAAUUUCGCCUCGGGAGGGGCUCAUAUCGUAUUAGCUAGUUGGCGGGGUAACGGCCCACCAAGGCAAAGAUGCGUAGCGGGUGUGAGAGCACGACCCGCGCCACUGGCACUGAGACACUGGCCAGACACCUACGGGUGGCUGCAGUCGAGGAUCUUCGGCAAUGAGCGCAAGCUUGACCGAGCGAUGCCGCGUGUGCGAUGAA